rnacentral:rRNA from 1 species
ACGGAGGGUGCAAGCGUAGUUCGGAAUUACUGGGCGUAAAGGACGCGUAGGUGGUUGUGUAAGUCAGAUGUGAAAUCCUUAGGCUUAACCUGAGAACUGCAUCUGAUACUGCAUGACUCGUGUACAGCAGAGGGAAACGGAAUUCCUGGUGUGGAGUUUAAAUUCGUAGGUAUCAGGAGGAACGCCGAUGGCGAAGGCGGUUUAAUGGGCUGGUACCGACACUGAGGCGCGAGAGCGUGGGGAGCUAACAG